CAACAGCGAGGCAUCAAGUGCUGUUCAAAACAGAUUGAGCGACCUUUUCCUGUCUCAUCAGAUGCCUUUAAACUGUAUCAUAACGAUCAGGUUUGAAGGCAGUUGUUACGGUUGGGUGGUGGUUGGACUCAGGUGCAGACACAGACUCGAUGAAGGUUCGACCAAGGGUUUAUUCUUGAGAUAACAAAAAAUCGACUAAGCAAGUCGAGAGAGGGCUAGAAAGUCUAGGCUGAGAAGUGAGCUUGGGGAUCCGAGUGUUGGAGAAACAAGUGAAAAAAAAGUGAAAAAAGACACAACUGUUAGUAAACAAGUUCAAGGCGAAGAAGCACAAGAUGAACAAGAAGCGUCUACUUUGGCCUACAACUGUCACCACGGAUCGCGAAAACCAACCUGGGACCAGCCCUCCAGAAGGCAAAAGCUUAAGAGCUGAGCAGUGAUGAGCUGAUCAGCUGCAGGUGUAGAGAGCCAGGUGCUGAGCCAGCCCCCGUGCUGCCACGCCCCCUGUGCAGAAACACAACCACAAAACAGAGAGAGGACACACACCCCAAGCACCAAGUCUUGACAGCAGCAUCGAUACUGACUCGAUGCUGCCUAUUACUCAUAAAUCUGUGCCUAUGGUAGCUUACGAAAAAUUGAGAAGAUGGCAGACAAACAAGCCUAAUUUGUCUACAAAUCUUUUGGGGCCCAUAGGGAUCUGGGGCCCCUGGCCAGUGGCCUGCUUUUCCUGGCUGGUAAUCCAGCUGUGGCUGUCUGUAGUGGACAGAGACACCAAAAUGAGGUCAUCACAAGUCAUGUAAGUACUUAUUAUCUACAGAUAGUAAUCAACCACAGAUCACAUAUGUACUGUCACCCCACCAUUUAGUGGGUGUACCGUGUAACAACACCCCCUCCCCCUCUUUCAUCCCCACAUUUAUGAUCUUUCUCCUCUGUGUAAUUAAAAAAAAUGCCUGUC